AAUUAUAUUUAAUAAUAGUAUAUUUUACAUUUUCUAUCUAUUUGAAAGAGAUGAUAUUAUAUUUANUUUGGUUUUUUCCAUCCCAAUUUUCUCAUUUUUUGUUUUUUUUUUUUCAUCCCAAUUUUCUCAUUUUUUGGGUUUUUUUCCAUCCCAAUUUUCUCCUUUUUUUGGGUUUUUUUCCAUCCCAAUUUUCUCCUUUUUUUGGGGUUUUUUCCAUCCCAAUUUUCUCCUUUUUUGGGGUUUGUUCAAUCCCAAUUUUCUCCUUUUUUGGUUUUUUUUCCAUCCCAAUUUUCUCCUUUUUUUGGGUUUUUUUCCAUCCCAAUUUUCUCAUUUUUUGGUUUUUUUUCCAUCCCAAUUUUCUCAUUUUUUUGCGUUUUUUUCCAUCCCAAUUUUCUCCUUUUUUUCCAUCCCAAUUUUCUCCUUUUUUGGUUUUUUUUUCCCUCCCAAUUUUCUCCUUUUUUGUUUUUUUUUCCCAUCCCAAUUUUCUCAUUUUUUGGGUUUUUUUCCAUCCCAAUUUUCUAAUUUUUUUUGUUUUUUUUCCACCCCAAUUUUCCCAUUUUUUGGGUUUUUUUCCAUCCCAAUUUUCUAAUUUUUUUGGGUUUUUUCCAUCCCAAUUUUCUCCUUUUUUGGGUUUUUUUUCCAUCCCAAUUUUCUCAUUUUUUUGGGUUUUUUUCCAUCCCAAUUUUCUCCUUUUUUUGGGGUUUGUUCAAUCCCAAUUUUCUCAUUUUUUGGGUUUUUUUCCAUCCCAAUUUUCUCAUUUUUUGGUUUUUUUUCCAUCCCAAUUUUCUCAU
rnacentral:lncRNA from 1 species